rfam:Amborella trichopoda AMTR_V1.0_contig_32860, whole genome shotgun sequence.
CUUCUCAAAUAGGCAUCAAGGUUGAAGAAUUCAGAAAUCAGUGCGUUGUUUUUCAGCUUCUUCUCUAUUUUCUUAUGAGUGUGGAGUUAAAUCACAACACAACAUUU